rnacentral:rRNA from 1 species
GACGAACCUUGCAAACGUUAUUCGGACUCACUGGGCUUACAGGGUGCGUAGGCUGUGCAGAAAGUUGGGUGUGAAAUACCUCGGCUUAACCGAGGAAUUGCGCCCAAAACUACUGUGCUCGAGGAAGAUAGAGGUGAGCGGAACUUAGGGUGGAGCGGUGAAAUGCGUUGAUAUCCUAAGGAACACCGGUGGCGAAAGCGGCUCACUGGAUCUUAUCUGACGCUGAGGCACGAAAGCCAGGGUAGCAAACGGG